AGUGAACGCUGGCGGUAGGCCUAACACAUGCAAGUCGAACGGCAGCACAGUAAGAGCUUGCUCUUACGGGUGGCGAGUGGCGGACGUGUGAGGAAUACAUCGUAAUCUACUUUUUCGUGUGGGAUAACGUAGGUAAACUUACGCUAAUACCGCAUACGAUCUACCAUUGUAAGCAUGGGAUCUUCUGACCGUGCGCGGUUGAAUUAGCCGCUGUCGGAUUAGCUAGUUGGCUGGGUAAAGGCCAACCAAGGCGACGAUCCGUGGCUGGUCUGAGAGGAUGGUCAGCGACCCUGGAAGUGAGACACGGUCCAGACGCCUGCGGGACGGAGCAGUCGGGAACAUUAGACAAUAGGCGCGAGCAUGAUACAACGAUACCGAGUGUGUGAAGAAGGCGUUGCGGUUGUGAAGACGGUCUGUUGGGAAAGAACAGCUGUAGGUUAAUACGAAGCGUUAGUGACGGUACCGAAAGAAUAAGCACCGGCUAACUUCGUG
rnacentral:rRNA from 1 species